rnacentral:lncRNA from 1 species
AUGUAAUCACUCAGAAGGUUGUACAGUGAUUGUGAAGGGCUGCAGAAGGGGUCUGCAGAGGGACCUCAACUACACCAAUGUAGAGCUCAGCCUCCUUAAGAAGAGAAAUAAGAGGCUCUCGGCUGAUAAAUGAUGGAGAAGUAGAAAGGAGCUGGCUACCAUUUGCACUAUCUGUAGUCAUGUAUGGAACGUGACAAAGGGUGUUACACUGGGCUUUUGUUAAAAAAUGAGGUUUGUGUGUGCUCACUUCCCCAUCAAGGUUGUUAUUCAGGAAAGUGGUCUCUUGAUGAAAUCUGAAAUUUCUUGGGUAAAAAAAUAUAUCUGCUUGUUUCAACUGAGGCCAGGCAUUGCUUGUUCAAUAUCUCAAGCCCAGAAAGGUGAAUUAAUUCCCGAAGAAAAUGACAAGAAUUUGUAUCAAUUUCAGCUGCUUGGAUUCAGCAAACCAUAACAGUUAAAAGCAAGGAUAUCAGAAAAUUUUUGUAUGGUGUUAAUGUAUCUGAAAAAAAGAACAGUUCAGCAUACUGAUGAGUAA